UCAUUAAGGCUGAGCUGUGAUGGGGAGAAGACAUUGUGUCUUCGAGUCGUUGAUUUCACACUGCCGAGAAAAGCCUCUAGAUAGAAAAUAGGUGCCCGUACCGCAAACCGACACAGGUAGUCAAGAUGAGAAUUCUAAGGUGAGCGAGCGAACUCUCGUUAAGGAACUCGGCAAAAUGACCCCGUAACUUCGGGAGAAGGGGUGCUCUUUAGGGUUAACGCCCAGAAGAGCCGCAGUGAAUAGGCCCAAGCGACUGUUUAUCAAAAACACAGGUCUCUGCUAAACCGUAAGGUGAUGUAUAGGGGCUGACGCCUGCCCGGUGCUGGAAGGUUAAGAGGAGUGGUUAGCUUCUGCGAAGCUACGAAUCGAAGCCCCAGUAAACGGCGGCCGUAACUAUAACGGUCCUAAGGUAGCGAAAUUCCUUGUCGGGUAAGUUCCGACCCGCACGAAAGGCGUAACGAUUUGGGCACUGUCUCAACGAGAGACUCGGUGAAAUCAUAGUACCUGUGAAGAUGCAGGUUACCCGCGACAGGACGGAAAGACCCCGUGGAGCUUUACUGUAGCCUGAUAUUGAAAUUCGGCACAGCUUGUACAGGAUAGGUAGGAGCCUUUGAAACGUGAGCGCUAGCUUACGUGGAGGCGCUGGUGGGAUACUACCCUAGCUGUGUUGGCUUUCUAACCCGCACCACUUAUCGUGGUGGGAGACAGUGUCAGGCGGGCAGUUUGACUGGGGCGGUCGCCUCCUAAAAGGUAACGGAGGCGCUCAAAGGUUCCCUCAGAAUGGUUGGAAAUCAUUCAUAGAGUGUAAAGGCAUAAGGGAGCUUGACUGCGAGACCUACAAGUCGAGCAGGGUCGAAAGACGGACUUAGUGAUCCGGUGGUUCCGCAUGGAAGGGCCAUCGCUCAACGGAUAAAAGCUACCCCGGGGAUAACAGGCUUAUCUCCCCCAAGAGUUCACAUCGACGGGGAGGUUUGGCACCUCGAUGUCGGCUCAUCGCAUCCUGGGGCUGUAGUCGGUCCCAAGGGUUGGGCUGUUCGCCCAUUAAAGCGGUACGCGAGCUGGGUUCAGAACGUCGUGAGACAGUUCGGUCCCUAUCCGUCGUGGGCGUAGGAAAUUUGAGAGGAGCUGUCCUUAGUACGAGAGGACCGGGAUGGACAUACCUCUGGUGUACCAGUUGUCGUGCCAACGGCAUAGCUGGGUAGCUAUGUGUGGACGGGAUAAGUGCUGAAAGCAUCUAAGCAUGAAGCCCCCCUCAAGAUGAGAUUUCCCAACUUCGGUUAUAAGAUCCCUCAAAGAUGAUGAGGUUAAUAGGUUCGAGGUGGAAGCAUGGUGACAUGUGGAGCUGACGAAUACUAA
rnacentral:rRNA from 1 species